GUCCCGGCCAUCUCCCUUCUGAUCCAGCUCCAUGUUAACAGCCUGGGAAAAGCAGCGGAAGAUGGCUAAAGUAUUUGGGUCCAUGCGACACACAUGGGAGAGUCAGAUGAUGCUCCUGGACCAGCUCUGGCCUGGCCUGGCCCAGCUCUGGCUCUUGUGGCCACUUGGAGUCAAACACAGGGAUCUCUCCAAAAGGAACAGAAAAAAUCCACGUGAAUUCAUCUCUUUGGAAAAGCAUUUCUGAUAUGCCAAGGUUAAAGUAAAAGGAGUUUGAAGAUAAAAGGAAAAUAACAGUAAUUGGUCACAGUAAGACUCCCUCAGAAAGGGAUCUGCAUGAUCUAUGGUUCAGGCCCAAAAGAGGAAGGAAACUUCCACAUUAUCUCAGAGUUCUGUUGGCUGGGAAGCAAAAGAACCACCACUCUGAACAGCUGGAUGCAAGUUUAAGGCCAUUUUCAAGUAUUAAAAUGGAGCUCAAAAAAAAAAAGAAGAAAUUAUCAAUUCCCAACUUGACUCUCACUGGGAUUAAACAUGACAAUAGGUCUGAUCUAAUUUCAUCAUCAUUUUAAAAAUCAUCUAUUAUUUUUCACUUUCUGUUUCUGUGUGGGAGCAAACUGUUGAAAUCUUUACUUAAUGUAUGCUAAACUGAUCUUCUGUAUAUAAAGAGAAUCAAAAAUGAAUCUUGAUGUGAAUGGAAGGGGAGAGGGAGUGGGAAAGGGGAGGGUUGCGGGUGGGAGGGACAUUAUGGGGGGGAAGCCAUUGUAAUCCAUAAGCCGUACUUUGGAAAUUUAUAUUCAUUAAAUAAAAGUUAAAAA